AGGUAAUGGCUUUGGUACAGCCAGCCGUAAUUUAAUCCACUCGCACGGCCGCUUCCCAUUAACCGUUCUUGUAUCAAACGGCACACGCAUUUUCUCCUUCCAUUAUCUACUAGUCGCACAUUUUCAGAAAGGGGGACCGUGUGUCUGUUCAUUCCCCUUCUCCCCUUCUCUCUAGGGUUUGUCUCUCUCAUCUCGCAUCCACGGGCGAUUCGCGCAUCCACCGUGCGCAUUUCUGGAUCCGGGCGGGAUUGGAGGGGAGAAGAAGGAAUGCAUCGGCGAGAUUGAAGCAGGGGGAGGGGGGAGCGCAGAACCCGAUCAAGGGGAGAUUCCGGAUGCGGCGGCGAGCAACGGUGGGCUGCUUUACCACGAGGUUCAUGAGGGGAAGCCCUGCGUCGUGCACUGCGUCAACACCUCCCUGCAGGGGCCCUUCUUCUCCGUGUUCGACCUCGCCGCGCUCGCCGCCGACCUCGACCAAUGGGAGCGCCUCGUCAUCCUUGAGGGCUCCUAAAGCCUCGGCGCGGCCAAUGCUGCCGGUGGGGACUUCCUCACCAAAGGAUCCCACAACAUCUCCCUCGGAGUGACUUCACCAUCCAAGUCAGUCCAGGCCUUCCAAGCUCCUUGUAGAUUUAAUCCAGUUGUGUUUCAUAGGCUGGGUUGGUUUGACUGAUUUGUAGAUUGCAGCUUGUUCUGUGGGCUCAGUUUCUACUUGUUUGUCUAUUAAGAUAAUUAGAAUUUAGGGGAGUUUUGCUUGAGCAUUGCUGUUUGGAUCCCUUCGAUUGAUUUUGUAGUAGGUGAUUCUAGGUUUAAAGUGCCAGUGUAUACAUUAAUAAGAUGGAGACUAGAAGUGCCUAGUUUAGAAUGAAAAGAAAAUUGUCUAGACAAUGCAUUAAAUCAGGUGAUUGCCAAUGGUGGCGCCAUGUGAGGUCUGCACGUGAUAGUUAUAGGCUUUGUCCUUGAAUAUAUGAUGAUUAAUCAUGCUUUGUUGGAUACGAAUGGGACAAAGGGACUAUCAGUACUUCAUAUCUUAAACUAUCAAAGAACUGAAUUGAAAUUUGCAUGAUUCUCUACAGGCGAUUUGAUAUGGGAUUUUACUAGCAAGAAAAGCAGCUCUGUUUGAUAUUGUGUAUUCAAAGUGCCUGAUGAUUUUUUAAUGUUGCCUGACAUUUGUGUUCUAAUUAAGAUGCCUGAUGAUGUUUAUUAUUUUUCCUAAACCACAUAUCUGAUGAUGAAUGAGGCUUGAUGAAUGCUUUGUGCUUGCUAGUAAAUCGAAUGAUUGCUUGUGCUAUUUUUAAGCAGCUUUCAGAAUUGGGCUUUAUCUGUCCUGGCCUUUUUACCUCUCACCUAUUUUAGAUAAAGUGCUCUGCUUCAAUGUGGAGGUAGUUUUUAUUCACGGGAGUUUUAUACGUUGAGAAAAGCAGCUCCUCCUUAGAAUAAUAUGCUUUGCACCACAUCAGACUUUGAACCAUAUUUUUGUACAUAUGAAUACUCAAUCAGGCUUGCUUAAUCAAUAUAUUUCUGUAGCAGUUAAAAUGAGGAUAACAUGCUCCAAUGUUUGUACUACCGGAUUAUUUAUCUCAGUAGCUUUUCACUACUUUUAUGAAAGAAUUUGUGGUCAUCUCUUCACCAUAGAUUUUUUUUACUCAUAAUCACUGGUCUGCAGACAUUCCGUGAAAUAUAGAGACUACUAAGCAAAACUAAUGGCAAAGUCAUUGGUGAUGUUAUGACUUCUUCGUCUCUUGCGGUGCGUGAAAAUACUAAUCUUGAUGAUGCCACAAGGUUGCUACUUGAAACCAAAUACCGGAGAUUACCAUAUAGUUGAUAGUACAGGGAAACUAGUAAGUGGAUCCAUCCUUGUAGUUCUGGUUCCUUUUGCUUUAGAUCAAUACCCUUAACAAAAAUUUUUGAGCAUUCUUGUUUGUAACAUAUGAAAUUUCCAUUCCUGAAAUUAUGCCUUUAGGUGAUGAUAUGCCAUCUUCUUCUACUGAUUUUAGUUCUUGCAAAAUGCUAGGGUUAGGUUGUGUGGGUUUUGAUUAUUUUUGCCUGUUCAUUUGUUUUAAGUUGCUUCUAAGUUCAUUAUAGUCGUGGGGUUUUUCUCCUUGGUUGAUUAGGUUGGCUGGGAGAUUGGGUGCUGAGGUUAUGUGCCACUGCCAUGCGUAUGUGGAUCCUGACAGCUGCUGGGUAGCCAUGUUGGAUUUAGCCUCCACGCAGUUGCAUGGCUUGGGUGCCUACAGAAUAGGUUUUGCUCCUGGGAAAUUUGGACAGGUCCGAGCUUGUGGUCUUGGCUCAUGAUCCGGAGCUUGGGCCUUUGGGUUUAUAGUGCAUUAGUCAACCAAACCGUUGUUUGUUCUACAUAGUAACAAUAACAAUGAUGGUGGUGUUGUUGACGCUGUGCUUUACUACAAUUGAGUAAGGCUCCCAACUGAGCAUGCUCAUCAACUCUUCUGGGAGCUCUGUGCUCUUGUAUCAUGCAAGGCAGUAACCGCUGUUUUUACCGAGUCUAUUUUUCAAUUUCCUUUUAGAUUAAAUUUGCAUCCAUCCAUCUCCUUUUACUAGGUCUAUUCUUCUGCAUGCUUGUUAGCUUUUUUCUGUGUUAGCUUUUUUCUGUAUGGUUGUUGCCUUUUAAUAAAUUUUAAUAGGCAUUUUAAUACUAUCCUACUAGCAUUUAAAAUGUUCACAUGAAGCAAUUUAGAAAAAUUCCCGCUUUUUGCCGAUUAGUGCAUAAGCAUUGCAUGCAACUUAUGCCAAACAACUAGCAUUCUGGUAGAACUUAUAAGCAUUUAUAGGUAGUAAUUAGGCGACAAUAUUUGUUAUAGAUGGGCAAUAAUAUGGUUCCCAAUAAAUAUUUUCCUCAAAUCAACUCAACAAAAAUAUCAACACUAGGUAAGCACUUUAGGCAAAUUAUAUAUAGGAAUUAGGCAAUAAUAUUAUUAUAGAUGGGCAAUAAUAUUGUUCCAAUAAGCAUUCCCCCCAGUUCAUUGUUUGUGUCUGGUUUGCUGGUUAGUUGUACAAAUAGGCAUGAACAAGCUCACAAGUCACACAAAGGCUUGAAUUGGGGGAUUUGCUGGUUAUUAAUACUGAUUCAAUUUCUUGUUUUGCUGGUUAGCUCAUCAUCAAUUUAGGCGAUUUUGCUGGUUAUUAAUACUGAUUCAAUUCCUUUGUUUUGCUGAUUAGUUGUCCUCAUUAAUUUAGACAAUUUGCUAGGUUAUUUGUACUGAUUCAAUUCCUUGUUUUGGUGCUGUAGCAGGCUCACACAAAUCUGAUGAUGGUGUCGGUCAAUAUUUUUUUGGUGCUAGAGAAUGAGGCCUGAAGAUUUAUUUUGUUUGAAUGUUUGGAUGGGUGAAAAUUGCCUUUGUAUAUGCUUUAAUUUUCUUAGAGUUCUUCAUAAAUUUGCUUAAUUGGUCUCAAAAAGUUGCUCCAUGUAACCAUUGAGUUGAAUGACAGUAUUGGUGAAGUAGAAAUAAUAUAACGUGAGCAGAUUAGGAGGGGUGGUGGUGGUUGUAAUUCUAGUAGAUUUUUUUUGUGAUACUACCUUUUUUUAUAUACUUUUUGAUGUACCGACUCAGUGAGUUCCAAAUAUGGAAAGUAGUUUUUUUUA